ACAGAUUAGCGGUGAUACCUGCCCGAUGCUUUGAUCUAAUUCCUCCUAAGGAAAAACUAAAAGUCAAUGGCCGCGGUAUUUCUGACCGUGACAAUGUAGCGAAAUCAAUCGUCAUUUAAUUGCUGACCGGUAUGAAUGGUAACACGAAUAUUCCCCUGUCUCUAGAAAAAUCCCCGUGAAAUUGAAAGACCCGUGCAUAUGCGGGUUAAAUUUUGUAAGACGAAAAGACCCUAUUGAGCUUUACUAUCUGUUCCCCUUACUACCCCACUCUCUAUCAGCUAUAAAAGGUGAUUUUUCGGGGAACAUGUUAGUUUCGUUGGGGCGACGGCCUUCUAAAAAGUAACGAAGGCUAACCAAGGUUUCUAAAAGAAUCUUUCACAGCUUGACUGCUAGGCUGAUUUGCCGCGCAGGCACAACCGUGGGUGAUAGUUUUCCACCUUCUCUCAAGGUGCCAAAACAUAAAAGUUACCAUAGGGAUAACAGCGUAAUAUUUCCGAAGAGUUCUUAUCGAUGGAAAUGAUUGCGACCUCGAUGUUGAAUUGUGGUAUCCUGAGGGUGCAGCCGCUCUC
rnacentral:rRNA from 1 species